UACGUAGGGGGCAAGCGUUGUCCGGAUUUACUGGGCGUAAAGAGCGUGUAGGCGGCCACGCAGGUCCGUUGUGAAAACUGGAGGCUCAACCUCCAGCUGUCGACGGAAACCGUAUGGCUAGAGUCCGGAAGAGGAGAGUGGAAUUCCUGGUGUAGCGGUGAAAUGCGCAGAUAUCAGGAGGAACACCAAUGGCGAAGGCAGCUCACUGGGACGGUAUUGACGCUGAGACGCGAAAGCGUGGGGAGCAAACAGG
rnacentral:rRNA from 1 species